rnacentral:rRNA from 1 species
CAGCAGCCACGGGAAUACGAAGGUCCCGAGCGUUGUUCGGAAUCACUGGGCGUAAAGCGCACGUAGGCGGCUUGGUAAGUUAGAGGUGAAAGCCUGGAGCUCAACUCCAGAAUUGCCUUUAAGACUGCCGAGCUAGCAGGUGAGAGAGGUAAGUGGAAUCCCGAGUGUAGAGGUGAAAUUCGUAGAUAUUCGGAAGAACACCAGUGGCGAAGGCGGCUUACUGGCUCAUACUGGACGCUGAGGUGCGAAAGCGUGGGGAGCAAACAGGAUUAGAUACCCCUGUAGUCCCUGUCUCUUAUAC